CAGCUUGGGGUUCCAGAAUGGAGAUUGUUUUGGAAACUGGGUCUUUAUAGAUAGAGUUGUUGACAUUGUACUGCUUAGACUUGGCUCUAAACUAAAGGACUUGUGACCAUCUAAGAAGGACGAAGGACACAGAGAUGUGUCAAGGAAGAAGGCCUAAUGAAGUGGAGUUGAUACCUUGUAUCAGAAACAGAUGUGAAUGGUACCUGGGUCAUCUCAUCCAUCCUUUAAAUGACUAACUUUAUAAAAUAGAAAUCCACCUCAGAAAUUUGAAAGUGAAGUUCUUAUUGGUUGAUGAAGUUUUUACCUGAUUGCUUAAUCAGGAAUGCUGCUGGAUCUUAGCACCAUGUGAAGAAUGGACUGGGGAAAUAGAGUGAGAGAAGAAACUGUGGAUGGUAGGUGGAAGAUCCAGAAGAGAAUUGCUGACAGACAAACGGAGUUUAUAAUAUGAGGUUGCUCACAUGCCAACGCAAAGAUUGAGCUGAGUUUAUGACACACUUCUUCAAUAAGAAUUAAGACAUCAAGUUCAACAAUGACUUUUCUGGUUAUUCAAGAGGUGAGAAACUUUGGCUUGGGGAAACCUAGCAGAUGGAACAGUUUUAUAUUACAAGAAAAGAACUUAGAAAUACGUUCUCUAAAAUGGACCUAUAGGCCUACAUAACUUGUUAAUUUCCUCUGUUCCAUAACUCCAAGAAAGAUGUCGUAGGGAGACAAGAGUGAACACUGGACAUUCUGAUGGUGUAUGAUAAGCAUCUAAGGAUGGUGUGAAGAAAGGGCUUUCCAGAGCCAGGCUAGGACUCUCCUUACAUGCCAGUUUGCCUCUUCUGUACUCCAGUGCUCUCCCCAAACCCUGGAGGCUCCUGCUCCUAAAUACUGCCUGAUAUUCUGUCCCCAUAGAAGGUCUCAAGUCCCCAGUCUUCCUCCAGUUGGAGUCCCACCUCUCUGGGCUCCAGGUAAAUCCUUAGUAGACACAGAAGGAGAGUUUGCAUUGGUGAAUUGGUUACUCAGGGAUGACUGGAGGCAGUUGAGUUUUCCUCCAUCAUUGUCAAAUUUCCUGUAUCCAUUGAAUCUGUCUGUUCCUUACACUAUACACUCGGAA
rnacentral:lncRNA from 1 species